UCGAAAUAUUGAUAAAUAUGUUUACCUCUCUUUCAACAAUACACUCAUAUAAAUUUCUGGUUAUACGGCAGUUCAAUUUCCAUUUAAGAAGCAUGGUUGGUUGUUUCUAGUCUGACAUUGCUAGCUGUGUGGUGUCUUCCUUUGGCGCUUGACACUUGAUGGAACUGUUACUGAUGGGACGAUUCCAAUGCUGAAAACCUUGUGAUAACCAUCAGCGCCGGUCCUUGCGAAUAUCAUGCUUUCGAUAACGGUGCUACAUUGUUUGGUUAAUAAAGGCCUUGAGGCAGAUCCUUAAGGAGCAAGCUCGUCGUAGUUGCCAAUUAUGAUUGAGUCUCACAGAGCAGUUUGGGGACGAAUGCGGAGAGAUAUGGACACGAAUAAGACACGUGUCGGGAACGAAUGCAGAGAGAAAACGGAGACGAAUUUGGAAUAUAUACGGAGACAAAUUUGGAGAGUAUAAUGAGAUGAAUUAGAAGGUAUACGGAGAUUUGAAAAAUAUAGUAUGUCGAAUUUGGAGAGUAUAAGGAAAUAAAUUUUGAAAGUGUAAGGAGGCUAAUUUGGAGAGUAUAAGGAUAUAAAUUGGGAAAGCAUAAGGAUACAAAUUUGGGUAGUAUUAGUAAACGAGUGGGAACGUGCCCGCGAUGAAUAGAUAGUGCAGUGUUCGUGAUAAGUUUGAAGAAGUAGGAGACGAAUAGGGAGAGAAGUAGCAAUCGAGUUGGAACAUAGUGAAGAACAGUUUGGAGACGCGAAAUACAAUCGGGACAUUGAAAUUAUAUUUUAUAAUUUUGCCAGUAUAUUAUAAACCAUUUUGGUAUUUGUAUUCUUAACUAAUAUUAGUAAAAUGUAAGUCAAACCGAAUUUUACUACUUGAAAUGUUAUUACGAGAACCGUAUCAAACAAUCUGUUAAUUUUACAAACUUUAUAAAACCUAUCAGAGAAAGAUAAAAUACAUUAAAUUGGUACUUUGUUUAUAUAUAAAAUAUAAAAAGAUGCAAUAUGCAAUAUACAUAUUUUAUAGCGCUCUCUCUCUCUCUCUCUAUAUAUAUAUAUAUAAGG